rnacentral:rRNA from 1 species
CAGCAGCCGCGGGAACACGGAUGGAGCUAGCGUUGUUCGGAAUUACUGGGCGUAAAGCGCACGUAGGCGGUUAUUCAAGUCAGAGGUGAAAGCCCGGGGCUCAACCCCGGAACUGCCUUUGAAACUAGAUGACUAGAAUCUUGGAGAGGUCAGUGGAAUUCCGAGUGUAGAGGUGAAAUUCGUAGAUAUUCGGAAGAACACCAGUGGCGAAGGCGACUGACUGGACAAGUAUUGACGCUGAGGUGCGAAAGCGUGGGGAGCAAACAGGAUUAGAUACCCGCGUAGUCCCUGUCUCUUAUAA